AAUUGGAGGGCAAGUCUGGUGCCAGCAGCCGCGGUAAUUCCAGCUCCAAUAGCGUAUAUUAAAGUUGUUGCAGUUAAGAAGCUCGUAGUUGAAUUUCGGGAUCAAUAUUUCGGUCAUGCCGUUGGUAUGCACUGUUAUCAUUGAUUUCUCACCUUCUAAAGAACCGUAAUGCCAUUAAUUUGGUGUUACGGGGAAUUAGGACUGUUACCUUGAAAAAAUUAGAGUGUUUAAAGCAGGCUCACGCUUGAAUACAUUAGCAUGGAAUAAUGAAAUAGGACAUCCGAUUCUAUUUUGUUGGUUUCUAGGAUCGAUGUAAUGAUUAAUAGGGAUAGUUGGGGGCAUUAGUAUUCAAUUGUCAGAGGUGAAAUUCUUGGAUUUAUUGAAGACUAACUACUGCGAAAGCAUUUGCCAAGGAUGUUUUCAUUAAUCAAGAACGAAAGUUAGGGGAUCGAAGACGAUCAGAUACCGUCGUAGUCUUAACCAUAAACUAUGCCGACUAGGGAUCGGAUGAUGUUAAUUUUUUAAUGACUCAUUCGGCGCCUUACGGGAAACCAAAGUGU
rnacentral:rRNA from 1 species